AGCGAACGCUGGCGGCGUGCCUAACACAUGCAAGUCGAACGGGUUCUGUUGGGGGCUUGCUCUCGACAGAGUAGUGGCAAACGGGUGAGUAACACGUGGGUAAUCUUCCUUCGAGUGAGGAAUAACUUCGGGAAACCGGAGCUAAUACCGCAUAACAUCUUGGAACGGCAGUUUCAAGAUCAAAGGGGGCGCAAGCUCCCGCUUGAAGUUGAGCUCGCGUCCUAUCAGCUAGUUGGUGAGGUAAUGGCUCACCAAGGCUCCGACGGGUAGCCGGCCUGAGAGGGUGGCCGGCCACACUGGGACUGAGACACGGCCCAGACUCCUACGGGAGGCAGCAGUGGGGAAUAUUGCGCAAUGGACGAAAGUCUGACGCAGCGACGCCGCGUGGGUGAUGAAGGCCUUCGGGUCGUAAAGCCCUGUUGAGGGAGAGAAAGCUACUGUCGGUUAAUACCCGGCAGUGGUGAUAGUAUCCCUAGAGAAAGCACCGGCUAACUACGUG
rnacentral:rRNA from 1 species